rnacentral:rRNA from 1 species
UACGGGAGGCAGCAGUGGGGAAUAUUGCACAAUGGGCGCAAGCCUGAUGCAGCCAUGCCGCGUGUAUGAAGAAGGCCUUCGGGUUGUAAAGUACUUUCAGUCGUGAGGAAGGUGUUAAGGUUAAUAACCUUAGCAAUUGACGUUAGCGACAGAAGAAGCACCGGCUAACUCCGUGCCAGCAGCCGCGGUAAUACGGAGGGUGCGAGCGUUAAUCGGAAUUACUGGGCGUAAAGGGCACGCAGGCGGUUAAUUAAGUUGGAUGUGAAAUCCCCGGGCUUAACCUGGGAAUGGCAUUCAAGACUGGUUAGCUAGAGUCUUGUAGAGGGGGUAGAAUUCCAUGUGUAGCGGUGAAAUGCGUAGAGAUGUGGAGGAAUACCGGUGGCGAAGGCGGCCCCUGGGACAAAGGACUGACGCUCAUGUGCGAAAGCGGUGGGGAGCAAACGAGGAUUAGACUACC